rnacentral:rRNA from 1 species
GAUGAACGCUAGCGGCAGGCUUAAUACAUGCAAGUCGAGGGGCAGCAGGACUGUAGCAAUACAGUUGCUGGCGACCGGCAAACGGGUGCGGAACACGUACACAACUUUCCUUUAAGUGGGGAAUAGCCCGGGGAAACCCGGAUUAAUACCCCGUAACAUUAUGAAGUGGCAUCAUUUUAUAAUUAUAGCUCAGGCGCUUAAAGAUGGGUGUGCGGCUGAUUAGGUAGUUGGCGGGGUAACGGCCCACCAAGCCUACGAUCAGUAACUGGUGUGAGAGCACGACCAGUCACACGGGCACUGAGACACGGGCCCGACUCCUACGGGAGGCAGCAGUAAGGAAUAUGUCAAUGGACGCAAGUCUGAACAGCAUGCCGCGUGGAGGAUGAAGGU